rnacentral:rRNA from 1 species
GACGAACGCUGGCGGCGUGCUUAACACAUGCAAGUCGAACGGAAAGGCCCUGCUUUUGUGGGGUGCUCGAGUGGCGAACGGGUGAGUAACACGUGAGUAACCUGCCCUUGACUUUGGGAUAACUUCAGAAACUGGGGCUAAUACCGGAUAGGAGCUCCUGCUGCAUGGUGGGGGUUGGAAAGUUUCGGCGGUUGGGGAUGGACUCGCGGCUUAUCAGCUUGUUGGUGGGGUAGUGGCUUACCAAGGCUUUGACGGGUAGCCGGCCUGAGAGGGUGACCGGCCACAUUGGGACUGAGAUACGGCCCAGACUCCUACGGGAGGCAGCAGUGGGGAAUAUUGCACAAUGGGCGGAAGCCUGAUGCAGCAACGCCGCGUGCGGGAUGACGGCCUUCGGGUUGUAAACCGCUUUCGCCUGUGACGAAGCGUGAGUGACGGUAAUGGGUAAAGAAGCACCGGCUAACUACGUG